GGGGAAUAUUGCACAAUGGGCGCAAGCCUGAUGCAGCCAUGCCGCGUGUAUGAAGAAGGCCUUCGGGUUGUAAAGUACUUUCAGCGGGGAGGAAGGCGACAGGGUUAAUAACCCUGUCGAUUGACGUUACCCGCAGAAGAAGCACCGGCUAACUCCGUGCCAGCAGCCGCGGUAAUACGGAGGGUGCAAGCGUUAAUCGGAAUUACUGGGCGUAAAGCGCACGCAGGCGGUCUGUCAAGUCGGAUGUGAAAUCCCCGGGCUCAACCUGGGAACUGCAUUCGAAACUGGCAGGCUAGAGUCUUGUAGAGGGGGGUAGAAUUCCAGGUGUAGCGGUGAAAUGCGUAGAGAUCUGGAGGAAUACCGGUGGCGAAGGCGGCCCCCUGGACAAAGACUGACGCUCAGGUGCGAAAGCGUGGGGAGCAAAC
rnacentral:rRNA from 1 species